rnacentral:misc_RNA from 1 species
UUACCAGAGGAUUUUUUGCACUAUCCAGAUAAGAAUCUUGACGGUUCUUUUAGAAUUGUGGAGUUGGAAGAUGGAUUAAAGGGAUUGGGUGUUGAAAGUAGAGAAAAAAUUGUGUCAGUUUUGCAGAAAAAUGCAACGAGGAAAGGGUUAUAUUCUAGAGAGCCAAUGGAGGGAAUUGAGUUUCCCCUUUUCCCAUCAAAGGGCUUGAGGUUGAGGAGGAAGAUUCAGGAUUGGUU